rnacentral:piRNA from 1 species
UUGGGGCUGCAAUAAGCCAUGAUUGUGCCGC